rnacentral:tRNA from 1 species
GCCGUGAUCGCAUAGUGGUUGAUUGCAUCGGUCUUGUAAGCCGACCUCUUUUGAGCGCGUCAGUUCGAAUCUGGCUCACGGCA